rnacentral:rRNA from 1 species
UUUCCGCGCUUCUCUAAGAUUACGCCAUGCAUGUCUCAGUACAUGCCGAAUUAAGGUGAAACCGCGAAUGGCUCAUUAAAUCAGUUAUGGUUCAUUAGAUCGUGGACACAUUUACUUGGAUAACUGUGGUAAUUCUAGAGCUAAUACAUGCAAACAGAAUUCCUCUCAGAGAUGGGAGGAAUGCUUUUAUUAGAUCAAAACCAAUCGGUGGCGGACGGCUCGUCCGUUCGUCCAUCGUUUGUUUUGGUGACUCUGAAUAACUUUGUGCUGAUCGCAUGGUCAUCUAGCACCGGCGACGCAUCUUUCAAAUGUCUGCCUUAUCAACUGUCGAUGGUAGGUUCUGCGCCUACCAUGGUUGUAACGGGUAACGGGGAAUCAGGGUUCGAUUCCGGAGAGGGAGCCUGAGAAACAGCUACCACAUCCAAGGAAGGCAGCAGGCGCGCAAAUUACCCACUCCCGGCACGGGGAGGUAGUGACGAAAAAUAACGAUACGGGACUCAUCCGAGGCCCCGUAAUCGGAAUGAGUACACUUUAAAUCCUUUAACGAGGACCAAUUGGAGGGCAAGUCUGGUGCCAGCAGCCGCGGUAAUUCCAGCUCCAAUAGCGUAUAUUAAAGUUGUUGCGGUUAAAAAGCUCGUAGUUGAAUCUGUGUGUCACAGUGUCGGGUUCACCGCUCGCGGUGUUUAACUGGCAUUAUGUGGUACGUCCUAUCGGUGGGCUUAGCUCCUUGCGGGCGGUCCAACUAAUAUCCCAUCGCGGUGCUCUUCACUGAGUGUCGAGGUGGGCCGAUACGUUUACUUUGAAAAAUUAGAGUGCUUAAAGCAGGCUACCUUUGCCUGAUAACUGUGUGCAUGGAAUAAUGGAAUAGGACCUCGGUUCUAUUUUUGUUGGUUUUCGGAUCCCGGAGGUAAUGAUUAUUAGGGACAGAUGGGGGCUAUCGUUAUUGCGACGUUAAGAAGUGUAAUUCUGGAUCGUCCUCAGAACGGAACAAGAGCGAAAGCAUUUGCCAAAUGUUUUCAUUAUCAGACCGAAGUAAGGUCGAAGGCAUCGAUACCGCCCCUAGUUCUAACUAACGAAGUCCAGCAGCAAUCGCGAGGUUCUUCGAAGAAUUGCGGACAUCUCGAACAAACUUUGGUCGGAAUUGUGCAACUGACUAGAUGACGGAGCCUCCCUGGAAUGUGAUC